rnacentral:rRNA from 1 species
GACGAACCGUGCGAACGUUUGUUCGGAAUCACUGGGCUUAAAGGGCGCGUAGGCGGCAGGUCAAGUCCGGGGUGAAAGCCCCCAGCUCAACUGGGGAAGUGCCUUGGAUACUGGCGUGCUCGAGGGAGGUAGGGGCCCGCGGAACUCUGGUGGAGCGGUGAAAUGCGUUGAUAUCAGAAGGAACGCCGGUGGCGAAAGCGGCGGGCUGGACCUUUUCUGACGCUGAGGCGCGAAAGCCAGGGGAGCAAAGCGG